CGCGCGCCCGGGUGUCCAUGCUCAGGCGCGCGGCCCGGCCUGGGACGAGCAGGAGGGUGGCCGGCGUGCCGGGAGCCUGGCGUAUGGGGUCACCAUAAAUUCAGAAAAGAAUUAACUCAAAUGGCCAAAGCAAUACAAAUGGAGACAAGGAAAGAUGGGCUAUUAAACCUUAUCUUAGAAGUCAACAGAAUGAUACAAGAUCCAGAGACAUGUUGACUCCCAGGAAGUCUGUCACAACCAGGCACACAGGAUCACAGAAAUGCAGGAGAACACAAUCAAAUUGGUGAAGGAAUUGAACAAAUCUGCUCAGGAUCAAAAAAAAAAAACAAAAAAACAAAUGGAAAUAGAAACAACAAAGAAAUCAAAAAUGGAGGCAACCGUGGAGAUGGAAAAUGUAGGAAAGAGAAAAGGCAUCACAGAUACAAGCAUCUCCAACAAGAGAUAGAAGAGAAACAAGAAAUAGAAGAGAGAAUCUCAUGUGUAGCAGAUAUCAUCAAAGAUAUUGACGCAAUAGUCAAAGAAAACACAAAGUACCAAAAGCUCCUAACCCAAAAACAUCCAGGAAAUUUAGGACACAAUGAAAAAAUCAAAGCCAAGAAUAAGAGUGAAGAUUCCCAAUGCAAAGGGCCAGGAAACAUCUUCAACAAAAUUCUAGAAGAAAACUCCCCUAACCAAAGUAAGAGAUGGUCAUUAACAUACAAGAACCCUACAGAACAACAAAUAGAUUGGACAAGAAAAGAAAUUCCUCCUGUAAAAAAAUAAUUAAAACACUAAAUACACAGAACAAAAAAAUUAUUAAAGGUGGUAAGAGAAAAAGGCCAUGUAACAUAUGAAGGCAGACCUAUCAGAAUUAUACCAGACUUCACAACAAAGACUCUAAAAACUAGAUUAUAGACAGAUGUCAUGCAGACCAUAAGAGAACACACAUGCCAAACCAGGUGACUAAAACCAACAAAACUCUCAAUCACCACAGAUGAAGAAACCAAGAUAUUCUAUGACAAAACCAAAUUUAAACAAUAUAUUUUCACUAAUCCACCGCUAUGGAGGAUAAUGGAAGGAAAAUUCCAACACAAGGAGAGAAACUACACCCAAAAAAAAUCAGGAAAUUAAUCAUCUCACAACAAACUUAAAAGAAGAGAACCAUAUAAACAUAGUACCACCACAAACAACAAAAAUAACAGGAACCAACAAUCAUUUGUCUUUAAUAUCUCUCAACAUCAAUGGACUCAGUUCUCCACUACAAAGACAUAGGCUAACAGACUAGAUACAUAAACAGUUCCCAGCAAUUUUUUGCAUUCAGGAAACACACCUCAGUGACAAAGACAGCCAUUGAGCUAGACUAAAAGGCAGGGAAAAUAUAUUCCAAGAAAAUGGUCCUAAAAAAUGAUCUGGAAUAGUCAUUCUUAUAUCUAAUAAAAUAGACUUUCAAUCAAAAGUUAGCAAAAGAGAUGGGGAAGGAUACUUCAUAUUCAUCAUGGGAAAAAUCUACCAAGAUGAACUCUUGAUUCUGAACUAUAUGCCCCAAAUGCAAGGGCACCCACAUUUGUAACAGAAAUGUUACUAAAGCUCAAAACACACAUUAAACCCCACAAAAUAACAGUGAGAGACUUCAACACCCCACUUUCAUCGAUAGACAGAUCAAGAAACAGAAACUAAACAGAGACACAGUGAAACUAGCAGAAGUUAUGAACCAAAUGGAUUUAACAGAUAUCUACAGAAUAUUUUACCCUAAAACAAACGAAUAUACCUUCAUCUCAGCACCUCACGCUACCUUCUUCAAAAUUGACCACAUAAUUGGAAACAAAAUAAGCAUAAACAGAUACAAGAAGAUUGAAAUAAUCCCACGCAUUCUAUCAGUCACCACAGACUAAGACUGGUAUUCAAUAAUAACAAAAACAACAGAAAGUGCAUAUACGCAUGGAAAUUGCAUAACUCUCUACUCAAUGACAACUUGGACAGGGAAAAUAUAAAGAAUGAAAUUAAAGACUUUCUAGAAUUUAAUGAAAAUGAAGGCACAGCAUACCUAAACUUAUGGGACACAAUGAAAGCAGCGCUAAGAGCAAAUUUCAUAGCACUGAGUAACUUCAUAAAGAAAUUGGGAGAGAUCCUAGACUAGCAACUUAACAGCAUAUCUGAAGGUUCUAAGAACAGAAAGAGGGAAACACACACCCAAGAGCAGUAGAUGGCAGGAAAUAAAUAAACUGAGAGCUGAAAUGAAUGAAAAGAAAUAAAGAAAACUAUACAAAGAAUCAACAAGACUAAGAGUUAAUUCUUUGAGAAAAUCAACAAGAUAGAUAAACCCUUAGCCAGACUAACUAAUGGGCCUGGAUACAGUAUCCAAAUUAACGGAAUCAGAAAUAAAAAGGGACCUGUAACAAUAGAAACUGAGGAAAUUAAAAAAAAAUCAACAAAUCCUACUACAAAAGACUAUAUUCAACAAAACUUGAAAACCUAGAUGCAAUGCAUGGUUUUCUAGACAGAUACCAGAUACCAAAGUUAAAUCAGAACCAGAUAAACUAUCUAAACAGUUAAAUCAGAACCAGACAAACUAUCUAAACAGUCCCAUAAACCCUAUGGAAAUAGAAGCAGUCAUUAAACGUUUCCCAACCAAAACAAGCCCAGGGCCAGAUGGUUUUAGUGCAGAAUUCUAUCAGACCUUCAAAGAAGACCUAAUACCAACACUUCUCAAACAUUUCUACAAAAUAGAAAUACAAGGAACACUAUCUAAUUCAUUAUGUGAAGCCACAAUUACUUUGAUACACAAAGACUCAACAAAGAAAGAGAACUUCAGACCAAUUUUCAUUAUGAAUAUUGAUGCAAAAAUACUCAACAAAUUCUAGCAAAUUGAAUCCAAGAACAUGUCAAAAAUAUCAUUCACCACAACCAAGUGGGCUUCAUCCCAGGGAUGCAGGAAUGGUUCAAUAUAUGAAAACCCAUCAACUUAAUCCUCUAUAUAAACAAACUCAAAGAAAAAAUUAACAUGAUCAUCUCAUUGGAUACUAAAAAAAUCCUUUGAUCUUGGAAAGAUCAGGAAUUCAAGGCAAAUACCUAAACAUAAUAAAAGCAAUAUACAGCAGAGCAACAACCAACAUCAAACUAAAUGGAGAGAAACUCAAAGCAACCCCAUUGUCUUGUCAGGGACAAGACAAGGCUGCCUGCUCUUUCCCUAUUUAUUCAAUAUAGUAGUUGAAGUUCUAACCAGAGCAAUUAGACAACAACAGGAGAUCAAAGGGAUACAAAUUAGAAAGGAAGAAGUCAAGGCAUCACUAUUUGCAGAUGAUACGGUAGUAUGCAAAAACAACCCCCAAAAUUCUACCAGAGAACUCCUACACCUGAUAAACAACUUCAGCAAAGUGACUGGAUAUAAAAUUAACUCAAAUACAUCAGUAGCCUUCCUCUACACAAAGGAUUAAAGAAAAGAAAUUAAGGAAACAACAUCCUUUACAAUAGUCACAAAUAACAUAAAAUUUCUUAGGGCAACUCUAACCAAGCAAGUGAAAGAUUUGUAUGACAAGAAUUUCAAGUCUCUGAGGAAAGAAACUAAAGAAAACCUCAGAAAAUGGAAAGCUCUCUCAUGUUCAUGGAUCAGUAGGGUUAACAUAAGGAAAAUGGCCAUCUUACCAAAAGCAAUCUACAGAUUCAGUGCAAUAUCCAUCAAUUCUUCACAGAUAUAAAAAGAGCAAUUCUCAGUUGCAUCUGAAAUAUCCAGGAUAGCGAAAAAAAUUCUCAACAAUAAAAGAAUUUCUGGGGGAAUCACCAUCCCUGACCUUAAACUCUACUAUGGAGCAAUAGUGAUAAAAACCAUAUGGUAUUGAUCCAGAGACAGGUCGAUCAAUGGAAUAGAAUUGAAGACCCAGAAAUUAACCUACACAUCUAUGGCCACUUAAUCUUUGAAAAAGAAGCAAAAACAAUAUAGUGGAAAGCAUUUUCAACAAGUGAUGAUGGUCUAACUGGAGGAGAAUGGAAAUAGAUGCAGUCUCUAUAUAGGAGAGUGGAAAUAGAUCCAUUAUUUAUCACCUGGCACAAAGCUCAAGUCCAAGUGACCUCAAGGUAAAACCAGAUACACUGAAUCUAAUAAAUCUAACAUAUCAUUGACACGGGGCAAAUUUUCCUGUACAGAACACCAAUGGCUCAGGCUCUAAGAUUGACAAUCGACAAAUGGGACCUCAUGAAACUGAAAAGCUUCUGUAAGGCAAAGGGCACUGUCAAUAAGACAAAACAGCAACCUACAGAUUAGAAAAAGAUCUUUACCAACCCUACAUUCAAUAGAGGGCUAAUAUCCAAAAUAUACAAAGAACUCAAGAAGUUAGACUCCAGAGAAGCAGAUAACCCAGUUAAAAUGGGAUACAGAGCUAAACAAAGAAUUCUCAACUGAAGAAGCUCGAAUGGCUGAGAAGCACCUGAAGAAAUGUUCAACAUCCUUAGUCAUCAGGGAAAUGCAAAUCAAAAUUACCCUUAGAUUCCACUUCACACCAAUCACAAUGGCUAAGAUCAAAAACUGAGAUUACAGCAGAUGCAGGAGAGGAUGUGGAGAAAGAGGAACACUCCUCUAUUGGUAUUGGUAUUGCAAUGGUAUUGCAAGCUGGUACAACCACUCUGGAAAGUAAUCUGGUAGUUCCUCAUAAAACAAAAUUGUUUUACCUGAAGACCUAACUUUAUUACUUCUGGGCAUAUAUCUAAAGAUGCUCCAACAUGUAAUAAGGACACAUGUUCCACUAUGUUCAUAACAGCCUUAUACAUAAUAGCCAGAAGCUGGAAACAACUCAGAUAUUUCUCACUGGAAGAAUAGAUACAGAAAAUGUGUUACGUUUACCAAAUGGAAUACUACUCAGCUAAUAAAAAUGAUGAUCUUAUAAACGUUGUAGGCAAAUGAAUGGAAGUAGAAAAUAUCAUCCUGAGUGAGGUAAUUCAGACCAAAAGGACAUACAUGUAUGCCCUUACUGAUAAGUGGGUAUUAGCCCAAAAGCUCAGAAUACCCACAAUUCAACUCAUAGACCAUAUGAAGCUUAACAAGAAGGAAGGCCACAGUGUGGAUGAUUCAACCCUACUUAGAAGGGGGGAACAAAAUAAUC